rnacentral:rRNA from 1 species
GGAAUCUUCGGCAAUGGACGAAAGCCUGAUCCAGCAAUGCCGCGUGAGUGAAGAAGGCCUUCGGGUUGUAAAAUUCUGUUAUAAGGGAAGAAAGGUGAUAGGAGGAAAUGACUAUCAAUUGACGGUACCUUAUGAGAAAGCCACGGCUAACUACGUGCCAGCAGCCGCGGUAAUACGUAGGUGGCAAGCGUUAUCCGGAUUUAUUGGGCGUAAAGAGCGCGCAGGUGGUUAAUUAAGUCUGAUGUGAAAGCCCACGGCUUAACCGUGGAGGGUCAUUGGAAACUGGGAGACUUGAGUGCAGAAGAGGAGAGUGGAAUUCCAUGUGUAGCGGUGAAAUGCGUAGAUAUAUGGAGGAACACCAGUGGCGAAGGCGGCUCUCUGGUCUGUAACUGACGCUGAGGUGCGAAAGCGUGGGGAGC